CAUUAAGUCACUUAAUCUUUACAGUGAACACUAAGGUACAUCCUGUUAUAAUUCCCAUUUUACAGACAAGGAAACAGGCACAGAGAUGUUAAAUGCCUAUCCAGAUAAAAAGUGUGGGAGCUGUUUUACCUUCAUGCAAUCUAGCUGAUAAAGUCACACACAUUAAUAUUUGUACUAUAUAUUAUUGUACAAGAGCUGUCUUUGAUAAUUAUUCUUGUGUCACCAUUUACAAGAUGCCCCUGACUUUUAUUAAACUCUCAAAGGGAAGGAGAAGAAAAAAAAACAGAAGAACCUAAACCCUAAAUCAUAGACUACAUGCAGACAUACAGAUGGAUGAUUAGAAACCCAAGUUGUGGGUGCCAUGUUUGGAAUUCCAUUUUAGCUGAGUGCUUCAGACUAUCACAUCUCUCAGUGGCUCCCUGGAGUUGCCCACUAAGGAAAAAUGAUUGAAUGACAGGACUGGAAUGGAAUGUAGCCAUCAUCUUAUCUAACCACACACACACCUCCCAGGAGAUGAAUGCCUCAUCUCCUCGUGAUAAUUUUGAAGACUUUCUGAGAAAGUGAUAACACUAGCCCAUUACCUCACAAUCCCAAGGAACACUAAAGUGACUGCAAACCCUAUGUGCCUCAUUCAACAGGUGUCGCAGAAUAAAGGAAAGAAAGAUUGGGAGAGAGAUGGGAGCUGGUAGAUCAGAGGAGACCAAAGACUUAAACUGAAGACUAAACCAUGGGAAAUGGGAACAAGGACUUAUUUGCUUAGAGGGCGAAAAGGAUGAAUUUACCUACAGGGGAAAUCCGAAAGCAGCUCUCCCUGGGAGCCAGGUUAGAGUUCCUCCUAAGGUGUCCUUGGCCUCUGCAGCGGUGGUGGCCUUGAACUAUAGCACAUUUGCACACUCAGCUUCUAAAUGCCCAUAGCAGUCCUGAGUCUUGCCUGAGAGAAAUACUCAGGUUCUUGGGCUUCACCUCUCCCUUCUGCCUUCUCUUCCUCCACCUUUCCAGAUCAGCCUGGGGAAUAUGAGGUGUGAGGAGGGAGGUGAGUGGAGGCUGAGUUUUGACCAAAGUUAUAUGACAUUUGAACCAGACUGAUGGCAAAAGGAAGAUCCUUUGGGAGGCAGACCUAUGUUCCGGUCCCUUUUCCUGCCCCUUUGGAUUAGUUAGCUCUCAAUUCUUGUCGCUGGCGGUGGUAAAGAACAGAGAGGGGCAACAGACAACAUCAGCCAAGUAAAAGUAGCGCUGAGGGUGGGUUCCCAAGUGAUCUGUCAACAUCCUGAAAUGAUAUUUUAAGUGACCAGAGAAAAUGCAGUCUCCAUGAAGGAGGGAAUCUAGGGUGGUUCCUGUAAAGAAACAUUGGUUUUGACAUUUAAGGGGUGAAAGUGACACAGACAAGAAAUGAGGCAAGAGGCUGAGAGUCAGUGGCACCAUUUGCUUUGGAAAUGGAGCAAAGUCUCUGGCAAAGGCUGUGAAGCUCACAAAAGCUUGGUCCUGGGGCAAGGUGGGAGGAUUGGCCUCAUAGGACAAGAGCAUGGCUGCAGAGUUAAAGGCCCAAGGACAAUCAAUAUGAAUUGGGACUUCACCAAACUACCAUCCACCAAACCCCUCCAUCCAGCCACUGAACAGUCUCUCUAUGGCGUGAAUAAUAGCUAUUGUGCCAUUUGGUAUGCAAAGACAAUUAUUGUACACCUGUUUUGUACUGGACUUUUGCUAAUUGGCUGUAAAUGCUAACCUUUCUUAAGUGACUCUAAAAAGGAUGAUUUCUGCACAACACUAAUCAUUUGUGGACCUAGCCAGGAAGGCUGAAAGAAGCAGCAGGCUUAGCAGACUCUUCUGAGUAGCUUUGGAGACAUAAGCCAGGGAAACCCAGAAUGAGGUAAGAAAACCACUCCUCUCAUUUGUAACCUGGAACAUUGAAUAUGGACACUUUGAUGUUCACCUUGGCACCAUUAGUAUUGAGCAGAUUUGUUAAGUAUUAGUUCGAACUGUAUGAUGUGCUGGUAUUCAGCUGCUUUUGAUGCACAAAACACAGCAAUUUCCUAUGGCUAAAUCUAAUACAAUCCUUAGAUAAUAAGAUAUUCUAAGAGAUGUUAACUUAGUUGAUUGAGGGAGAAAACUGAGGAAUUUUGAGGGCCUAGAUCUGUAGGAGUGAGUGUUCCCAAUUGUAAACAAUUCAUUAAAAAGAGGCAUGCAGGAUCUCUAGUUAAAAAUUCUAGUUUCAUUUAUUUAUUCAUUCAUUGUAACAAUAUUAAAGAUCACUGAACAUCUCCCAUGCAUCAGUCACUGUGCUAGAGAGACAAUAAAAUGAUGGUCACUGCCCUGAAGAAACACACAGAAUAGGAGGAAAUGAGUGAGGAUGGUACAAUGGACAGGACUCUAGGGAGGGUCCUAGGAGAACAGGAGAGGAAAGCAGAGAAGGAUUGUGGGGAAGGAAAGGAGGAAGACAAGGAGCGGUGUGGUCUUAGCCAAAGAAGGUUUUGAUGUGGGAAAGACAAGUAAUAAUUAACCAAAUAGGCAAGGCAGGAAGGAAAGUUCCAGACAAAACCAGGCAAAGACGACCAUAUGAUUUAAAGAAACAAGCUAUAUUUAGCGUGAAUAUAGGUGUAUUAAGUCUACAGAAAGGCAUUUAUCAAACGGCUUUAGGUGUCUCAAAGUCAGAAACUGUGUCAUACUUAUGUUCAUAUAGUCAGUGUUAUGUCCAGGACCAUACCUAGCACAUGGUAGGUGCUUGGUAGAUAUUGAAAUAAACUGGCCUGGGGGGAAAAAAAGCCUGAAAUUGAAAUAUAUCACAAAUUUAAAAGAAUCUUUUUCUUUCCUGCUCCCACUAGUCUGAAUUGAUGAGGUUUCAAUAUAGUACUUGAAAUGUUAUGCAUGAAAACAUUCAUUUGCAACCUAUCUCUAGAAAGAGAUGUUGUUAUGUAACCUUUUAAUCUGUGUGUCUAAGUAGAUGUCAAAAGUAUGUCUUGCCUUGAAGACUGUCCUAAGUCUGUUCAAUGUUGCUAUAAUAGAAUACCUGAGGCUAGGUAAUUUAAAAAGAAAAGAGGUUUAUUUAGCUCACAGCUCUGCAGUCUGGAAAGUAUGAGAAGCACGGUACCAACGUCUGCUAAGCAACUGGUGAGAGCCACGUGCUGAGUCAAAAAACAUGGCAGAGAAGGUCAAAGGGGAGGUGGACACUUGUGAAGAGAGGCAAAACCUAAAGGGCUCCUGGUUUUAUGCCAACCCACUCUUGUAGAAACUAAUCCAUUCUCACAAGAGGUAGUCUAUCUUUCCCAGAGCAAGAACUCAGUCAUUUGGUGAGAACCACAACAAACCAUUUAUAAGGGAUCUGCCCCCAUGACCCAAAUAACUCCCAUUAGGCCCCACCUCCCAACACCACCACAUUGGGGAUCAAAUUUCAACAUGAGUUUGGUGGGAACAAAUAAACCAUACUUGGAAACAAACCAUAUUCCAAACCAUAACAAAGCCUUUGGUUCCUUAUUUUGAAUAGUUGCUGUGUACUCUCCUUAGGCCAGGUGAUAUAACAGGCUUGUGACCACAGUGGUAAAUAAGACAAAUAUAGACCUUGCCUUCAGGAGUUUAAUAUUUAGUAGAUAAAACAGUUAUUAUCUGUUAAUUUGCCUAGAUGAAUCAGGGAAGGCUCUCAAAUGAAGCAGCCUCUGGAAGACAAGGGCAUUCCAGGGAGGAAGGGCAGCAUAUGCACCAGCGUGGAGGUGAGAGGAGACAGCAUGAUGUUCCUGGAGAAGAACAAAUAAUGAGUGCUACACAGGGCUAUUGGAAACGAGAAGGAAAUGUGGAAGAAGAAGUUACAAAGAUGGGCAAGGGUUAGCUCUUGAAGUGUCUUGAAAAGGAGUUUGUAUUUUAUUUUGUAGUCAAUGAAGAGCCAUUGCAGAAUUUUAAAUAAGGAACCAAAAAUAGAGUCUGAAAAUAGAGGUGCAGAGACCAGUAAGUUGGUGGUUGCCAAUCAGUAGUCCAAGGAAAUGAUAAAUGAGCAGAGCCAUGAUCAGGACCAGAGAGGAGGCAACAGAAGAGAGAUGCUCAGGAUACAAUUGAUGGACUUCAAGAGUGUCUGGAGGUCAACUGCAAUGAAGAACAAGCCAUUUUGAUCUCCAUCCUGGUUUAUAUCCUCUGUGUUCUCAAAGCAUCAUAUUAUAGAAUGGCUCACAAGCUC